AGCGUCUAGUUUAGGGAAGCUGCCGGGGAAAGUGAGAUUCAAUCAAGCAGCCCGAUCCAGGGGUGAGCCUACCAUGGUGGGGGGAGACAGGAGCCCCUGCACACAGGCAUCACCACGAGCAUGGUGUUAUUAAAGCAUUAUAAUGUGUUAAUGAUGUACACUGAGCAUUGCUGGCUAUAGCAGGGAUGCUGGCUAAUUAACAUACUAUUCAUGUAAUACCUAGAAUGGCAAUAAUGUAUUUACCGUCAGCUUAUACCAUCAUUCAAAGAUUUAUAUGUGCAGUUUGAGUGCAUGGUUAGCUUUUGGAAGUAUAAUGAUAUGUAAUUAAAUAGGUAGUGCCAAUUAUAUAUAAUAGAGGAAACAGCCCUAAAACACUUUCUGCACACCUGCCUCAUUACUGCACAAAUCAAAUUAGUUUGAUGCCAAUGCCAUAAGUUUUAGUUUUUUUGUAUAGUAGUCACAGCUCUGUAGGUAGCUCUCUGGCAUACAAGUAUUUCUGAUGUGUGCUCCCUUAUUUCAAUACAAGUGAAUCCACUCUGACUUUGGAGAUCAUUUGUAUAAUGAAAUUAAUUAGCCUUUAUUCUUUACAAAGUCAAUAUCUUGUUUAUUUAAUAAAUUUGCCGUCUCUUGGGAACUGAAACCAGGUUUUUACUCUGUGUCAAAGCACAAAUCAGGGCAAUGCCAUGUACCUCAUUGGAUAUGGAGAGGUGUUAGGGUAAAAUCAGUACAUUAGGGCACAAAAUACAUCCAUUAUUUUAUUGAAGAUUGUAGUUUCAUAAUAAUGAAUUACAUGCAAUACCCACUUUUUUUUUUUUUAACUAGGCUAUACAAAGUAAAGUCAGAAAUUACCGAUUUGUUGAUGCAGCUCAAAAAACACUUUGAAAAAUCUGCAUGUUUGAGCUAAUAGUAAGAAUAUCUAUUGGAUUUUUUUGCUCAGUUUAACAUUGACUUGUGGGAAUUAUUGAAAUGAAUGUCAAUAAAUAUGAAAAUAAUUGUACUGUUAACUUGUUCUGAUAUAUAUUCCCUGCCCAUGUAGUCAACCAAUAACGUUAUAAUUACAUCUUCCUUUCUGCAGGUCUCAGCUGGCUGUACCACAAAACAUGUCUCCUUUGAAAGAUGCACAGCUCGGAGCUUUCACCUUCUUUGCUUCUGCACUCCCUCAUGAUGUGUGUGGAAGCAAUGGACUUCCUCUCACCCCAAACUCCAUUAAAAUUCUGGGAAGAUUUCAAAUCCUCAAGACCAUUGUCCAUCCAAGACUUUGUCAGUAUGUGGAUAUAUCACGUGGCAAACAUG